rnacentral:rRNA from 1 species
GACGUAGGGCGCGAGCGUUGUCCGGAUUUAUUGGGCGUAAAGAGCUCGUAGGCGGCUUGUCGCGUCGACUGUGAAAUCCCGCGGCUCAACUGCGGGUCUGCAGUCGAUACGGGCAGGCUAGAGUUCGGUAGGGAAGACUGGAAUUCCUGGUGUAGCGGUGAAAUGCGCAGAUAUCAGGAAGAACACCCGUGGCGAAAGCGGCUCUCUGGAACGGUACUGACGCUGAGACGCGAAAGCGUGGGGAGCGAACAGG